rnacentral:snRNA from 1 species
CUGCAGAAAUACUGACAGCCACGCAGUUGAAACGAUACAGAGAAGAUUAGCAUGGCCCCUGCACUAAGGAUGACACGCUACUCAAAGAGACGCUACCCAUUUUU